CCAAGACACCUAGCCAUGCCACACCCACAAGGGAAUUCAGCAGUAAUUAAUAUUGAAUAUAAGCGUCAGCUUGAUUCGGUUAAAGUAAAAAGGGCCGGCAAAUACGGUGCCAGCCGCCGCGGUUACACCAUAUGACCCAAAUUGAUCCUCUACGGCGUAAAGCGUGAUUAAAGUUAAUGUAUAUUGUAGUUAAACUACUAAUAGGCUGUAAUACGCUUUUAUUUAGGAAACUCAAAAACGAAAGUUACUGCAUGUUAAACAACUUGAAUUCACAACAGUUAGGUUACAAACUAGGAUUAGAUACUCUACUAUGCCUAACUAUAAACUUUUAAUUUACACCAAAUAUCGCCUGGGAACUACGAGCAAAGCUUAAAACCCAAAGGACUUGACGGUACCCCACAUCCCCCUAGAGGAGCCUGUCCUUUAAUCGAUACUCCACGCUUAACCUCACCAUUUUUGGCUAAUCAGUCUGUAUACCUCCGUCGUCAGCUUACCACGUGAGCGACUUAAAGUAAGCUAAAUGUUUAUUUUACAUCAAUACGUCAGGUCAAGGUGCAACUAAUAAAAUGGAAAGAGAUGGGCUACACUCUCUAACAUAGAAUACACAAAAGACUAACUGAAAACUAGUUGUAAGGCGGAUUUAGAAGUAAAAAAAACUAGAGA
rnacentral:rRNA from 1 species